rfam:Streptomyces sp. WM6386 contig86.1, whole genome shotgun sequence.
CGUCGGCGAUCUGCGGGCAGAUGAAGUGGACGUGCGCGUCGACCGCGCCGGCGGUGAGGAUCCGCCCGUUGCCCGCGAUGAUCUCGGUCUCGGGGCCGAGGACCAGGUCGGGGUGGACGCCGUCCAUCGUGUCCGGGUUGCCGGCCUUGCCGAUCGCGGUGAUCCGGCCGUCGCGGAUGCCGACGUCGGCCUUGACGAUCCCCCAGUGGUCGAUGAUCACCGCGCCCGUGAUGACGGUGUCCGGGGUGCCGUCUGCGCGCGUAGCACGCGACUGCCCCAUGGACUCACGGAUG